UGCGCAAAAAAUUAAAUUCUAAGUUUUUGAUCCUAAGGAUUUAGGAAGAAAGAAAAAAUAUGAGAAAAAUUAUUUUCUUCUCUAUUUAUUUUUUACCUCUUCAUCUUCUCUAAAAUUUCAUCUUCAAUCUUUAAAAAUAUUUCAAAGAUUUAAAAAAAAAAUCAGAUCAGUCAAGAAGAAGGUCUUCGCAUGAGCUAGCACUCCCUAGAAGAUAGAUC
rnacentral:lncRNA from 1 species